CUGGUCUGACUAAAUAUCCGAGCAGACUAACCAACCCAUCAGCAUCGCACUCUACCACGCAACAGAAAAAAACAGAUGGAGGAAAGCUGUAGACAAACUUAAGCGGAGUCACAAUCCUCAGCAAUGAGGGAAUGACUGUGAAGAAGAUAUAGUGACCACCUACCAUAAUAACCGCUGCCCAUCUAUAAAUUAAAUCUAUAUCACUUUAUUCAUCUAUGUCCAAGAAAUGACACUCAUGAAUGUCAAAUUAACCACCACCUCGGGAAAGGUUGAGCUCUAAUUAGAAGAAGAGGCAAAAAAAUUGCCAUUCUUUUAAAUUAACAUUUACAGCAUCAUCAAUUAUUUGAAUCACAUGGACCAGUCGUCACCUCCCUCAAUCCUGAGUUAUGUUUUAGUAAAUGGAAUGAUGUCACCACAAUCGAGCAUCUUUCACUAAAAUUCUUUGAUUUUUAUUGAAUUAUAAAGGACACAUUUAAAAAAAGAAUCAAAUUAGAAAAAUAUGUUUCCAAUUAUUUUUCAAUUGUUUUUAUUUCUAUCAAAAUAAUUGAAACUCAUGAAGAAAUUCAAAAAAAAAUAUAACAAAAAAAAGAAUGAUCAAAAUCGGUUCACCCAGGCGAAACUCUGAGGUAAUAAACAUAAAAAAAACAUACCGACGAAUUGAGAACCUCCUCCUUUUUUUGAAGUCGGUUAAAAAGGGAAAUAAUACAAUGCAUUAUAUUAUCAUUAGACCGGCAUGCAACAGUACAGAAAUAUUGGAAAAAAACAUAAUGUAAGUACUUAUUUGCGACUCUUUAUUGAAACGAAAUGUAUCCGAACCAUUUUUGAAGAGAUAAAUAAUGGUCAUGAAACUUGAAACUCGUUACCAAGUGUUCUGUGCUCGUUACGUACAAAAAGAACGUCCGAAAAUGGUCAUCAGGUUUCACAAACUGUAUUAAAGCCCGAUUAAAGGCUGAUUUACACAGGGUAAGUAACUGACUACAAAUUCGAGGCAAGUCAGUGCUGACCCGAAAAAAACCCUGUGUAAACUGAUUUGAAGUCAGUACAGUGGCUUGAAGUCAGCGCUGACUUGAAUAUUCGGACACGAAUAUUUUAAAGUCAGUUGGCGCCCCCCGCCAACCGCGCACCCCCGCGCCAGCCAAAUAAACCCCGUGUAAACAGACAAGUCAGUGCGUGGUUAAUCACUGCCGCUGCGUUGUAGAGUGACCACGUUUUUUUCGCUGGCGAUAAAAAUGACGCGGAAGCUUAGCGAAGACGAAACCUUAAAAUUGGUGCAAUUAUAUGGCGAAAACGAGUGCCUUUGGAAUAUUAAAUCCCCAAAUUACCGCAAUAAAGAAAUGCGGUCAACAGCGUUGCAAAAUAUGGCUCAACAAAUGCAAAUCAAAGGGCUCACUUCUACUGAAGUAAAAAAUAAAAUUAAAGCCAUAAGGGCUACAUAUUAUUUAGAGCUCGACAAGAUACAAAAAUCCACCAGAUCUGGCGCUGGUGGGAACGUAUAUGUCCCAAAAGUCAAGUGGUUUCAAGAACUGGACGGCUUUAUAAAAAAUGCUAUUGUAAAAAGGAAAACAAUGGAUAACUCAGGAACCAGCAACGAUGACGCUGAGUUGGGUGAAGCUGAGGGUGUUGGUGACGGAGCUGAAAAUGUAUCAAGAUCUACUGAAAAUAAUGAUAAUUCUACUGAAACGCCAACUCAAGCCAUCCAGACGCCAGUUCGAAAUUCUGUGACAGCUCCCAAUCAAUCUGGGCCUCCGCGAUCAAAACGCUCCAAAAUAUCUCAGAUGGCCACCAUGAUAAAGGACUUAAAAAGUGUGUCAAAUGAUGUUAAUAUGUCACCAUCUGAAGAAGAGUCUGACGCUGAUAUUUUCGGUAAACAUGUGGCGGCUCAACAAAAAAACUGUCUGAAGAACAAUCUGUUAUUGCACAAGAAGAGAUCCAAAAAAUAUUAUCCAAAACUAGAUUGGCUGAUAUACAACAAAAGAAGUAUACAGAAAAUGCACACUCUUCAGCCCCUAACUAUUUUAUCCCUAGUCCGGCAGCAACUACAACAAGCAGCACAAGUAGCAUGGGAUUUUACUCCCUGGAGCCCAACCCAAUGACUGCAUCAAGCGACAACACCAUAACAUUUUACCCGCCAGAGGUUGCCGAGCCUGCCACUAGCAACAGCUCUUUAGGAUUUCAUUCUACCGAUCGAUCAACGAACCCCACAUUUGUAAACCCCAGGCAGAUUAUUAUUACACCCUCAGGUUUGAAUUACAGCACCACGAUCAACGAAGAAGCUGAAAGUGAAAAUAACACUGCUGUUAACACGAUUAUGCGUGCCUAUGAAAAUUCUUAAUACUAUUUUGAUGUUAUGUAUUUCUUAAUUUUCUAAUAAUUUAAUAAUAAAAAUUUUCUUACCAUAA